rnacentral:lncRNA from 1 species
CACCCGCCCACACGGUUUGCCGUGUUUUCACCCUUCUUUGUUCUCCACCGGUCUGGGCAGGGUCUGAGGACUCCGGAGAGCAAGGCAUGGGUCCGCCUCGUGCCGCAGGUUCCUGGCCCACGCCAGCCGUACCCAGUAGCACAAUGGGAUUUGAGGACACACGCCAGCUGCCUACACCUGAAGAAAGGGCUUUGCUGCUACGCACUGACAAGUUGGACGGCUUUUUAUUGCUUUGUUGCCAGUUAUCUGAACAUGAGAGGCUGUAAGGUGUAAUCUGCGAGCCCUGCGCCCAGACUGAACCAGGGCCUCCCUUGAACAUGAGUAUUAGACAAAUGAAAUAAGAACUUAUCUUGCCCAGACUAUAUAAUGGCUUGGAAAUGCAUAGUUUCCUGAACGAUCUCAAUAAAAUACUUUUAAAAGUACUUAAAUAGACUUUUUCUGUGUCACUUUGUGGGGAGGUGUGAGAAGAUAUAGGAGCUAGUCAUUUCAUGUGUCUGGUUCCUGGUCCCUUAACAGCAUCUGUUCUGGAAGUACAGAUGAAAAUUCUAUACAGACCUGUAAGGCUGACCAUAGUUUUAGCAGAUUAGCAU